ACUGCUCCGCAGUCUGGGCCAGGAUGUGCUCCGGUGGCCUUGUUGUCGUUAGGAGAAGCUCUGCAGCCGGCGCCAGCGCACCGCUCCCUAGCGAAGUGUGGACCUCAAAACUAACCAGAUUGACUUUAAGGUUGUGCGCAGAGGUCGGCAGCUACGCACUUGUGGGGGAGAAGACAACUUGAAGCCGUAAACAGAACAAACCCAUGUCUCAGGCUGCCGCCAAACGAAGCCGCCAUAAAACUUGAAGCUGAAGUGCUGUUAUCGUCGAACUCUAAGCUCAUCUUCACUCAAUUCAGACACACAGAUGGAGCUGCUGUGAUGGCCAUGUGUUUGCAACUCGUUGGGUCAUUUACUCCCAACAGUGCGCCGGAGGAAAGAGGGCAGCGGAGCGCGCCCGGAAAGCAAAUGCCAAGAGCACAUGAGCCAGUUUAGCAACGGAGAAAGAAAAAGGGCCCCAAUACAGCGAGUAGCAGGAAGCUGCCGCAGAGCGACGACGAAGAAGAAGAAAGUGAUUCGGAACAAGUUGUCCCAGAUAAGCUGCGCGCAAAGCGUCGCUCACCGGUGGCUGGCCGUGCUGACGGACAGGCGGCCCAAGCACCGAAGCAAGUAAGCGCCACUGGUUUGCGGUCUGGGACGCUAUCGUCCAAGCUUUCGCUCAAAUAGACCCACCGGCUGAUGGAGCUCCCAUUACUCUGGUCGAUUGAAAGUGCAUCUGGCGUUCAAACUCACGAGAAGACAACCAUAUAUGGUGGAAAGCAUUUUUAUUUUGCUUCAAAACUUGUGCUCUGUAUACAGUUCUUUCCACAAA